CUGUGAUUGGGCGUUCGCAAGGAUUCCUGGGUAGGGGACUUCAGUGGAGUCUCACUCUAUGCGGGCUUCGCCGAAGACCGCAUCGAGGGCACAAAGGAGGCGCUCGCGAGCAGACUUCUGAGCGCUAAAAAGACAAAUGGGACACCCUACAGACUCGUAGACUUGGUGAGAACGCGCAAUUUAAGUCCACGAGACCGCAACUGCGCCAUUUGGGACAGGGCCAAUGUUGCUACCCGAUCCGUCCCGGAAACACGAUUUGUUCCGCGCAUGCGCGACACUUCCGGUUAAUCCAGUUUUCACGACAGUCGACGCGAUCCGUUCAGGGGUUGCUCGAUUUGUACUGCGCAUGUGCAAAAGCGCAUCACGACACUUGUCCUGCGGAUGUGCUCGAUUAGAUAUUUGGUGAUGAGUAUAUGUGAUAGCAGUAUGGAUUCUUUUGCAUUUGAUGAACAACUUAAAUAUUAUCUCUUAAAAGGAGAAAUUCCUGACAGCCCUACAGAGCGUCGGAAGAUAAAACGGGCGUCUACGAAUUAUACCCUCAAAGGUAAUUAAAUACCGAGAAACUGUCUAACGUUACACAAUAUGUCAUGUGCUUAAUUUAUACGUUAACUGUAAAUUACCUGUUCAGCUCUCUCUCGUACUUAGGUGCCCUGCUGAAUAAAAAUAGAUUUGAUAACAGAACCAUUAGCUUUCUACAAUUAAAACCAUUACAAAAUUCCUGUUUUGUAUUGUUUUGGGGAUUAUUCAGAUAUCUGCCACAGUACAUAGACCAUAGUUUCCAUCCCAACCAAAACAAUUUCUAUUAUAACCAUUAAAUCCAAUAAAAUUGCUUAUUUUUUUCAGCAGGGUAUUAAUAUCAUAUUAGUGAUCAUAUAGUGAUAAAAGCGAUCAUAAAUAUAGUUUAAUCUGAGUCAGAUAUUAAUAUGAUUUAUUUUUCUUUACUUUGAACUGCAACCUUUCCUCUUUAAACAGAUGACAGACUCUUUUACACGGGCCCAAGCAGAGCAGGCAGUACAUACGGCUAGUUGUCCUGUCAGAGGAAGAGAAAACAUCUGAUCUUACAGAGUGCCACAAUAACACAGGAACUGGCAAUCACAGUGGUGUGUGUUAUUGCUGGCUACUAUUGGUCCACAAUAAUCAACGACGUGAAAGAAUGGGUAAUAUACUACAGAGGUGGUACUUUACUUUUAAUUUAUACUUUUUCCUAUUUUUUAAAAUAUCUGUACUUAAGAACUUUUGCCACCUCAGGUUGUUAGGUACCUUCUUGAUUUAGAAGUUAUUUUUAGUUUAUUGUUCUCGCCAACCUAGACAUUUUUGUGUUGCUCUUAGGUGAGAUCUUGUUACUGCUGCCAGCUGAAUGACCCCAUCAAACUGUUGUGCCAGUCUUGCAUUCCACUAAGGUACUGCUUACAAUAUUUGUGCAUACUCACAAGACUAACAAGCUAGUUUCAAGCUUGUGUACAGUUUUACCAGCAUUUGACUGAUGCUAAUUUUGUCCCAUGCAGGUAAAAUAAGCUUGGGAGGUGCUUGCUUUAGAUUGAUUGGACCACUACCAGAAACAGAACACAGCAACAAGUAUGUCCGUACCAUGACAGACUGUACACCAAGUGGGUGAUUUCAGAACCCAUGCAGUCUAAGACAGCAGCUGAAGCUGAGACAAUGCAUUAUUUUAAACAUGACAGCUUUCACAAGGAUGCAAACGAUCUGCGUUUAAUUUCAGAUGGGAAACGCUUGCCUCAAGAUUGUAGAAGAAGCUGCACGACAACAUUUACUGUGUACUAUUGUGGCCCGGUUUCACAGACAAGGCUUAGCUUACGCCAGGACUAGGCCUUAGUUAAUUAUCUGCAUGCUGAUGUAUGCACCUGCACAUCGUGUCCAUUAACAUUCACAGAGACACCCGAUGGUAGUCCAAACCAUUGCAAUCUAUCUGUCCUUCCGGUUUUCUUCCCACCUUUUCGAUUUCAACAUGGCAGCGGAGUGAAAUCUAUUGCAUGUACGCUGAAUAUGUGCCUAUAUACAUGCAUGCACAUAUACAUACAUAAAUACAAACUUGUGUCUUAACUUUACCAGGUGCAGCAGCCAGCCAUUGUCAGAGACCUACAUUCAGCAUGGUACUGAGUACCACGUCAUAGAGACUUAUUCCAUGGGGAGGUGACAGAGCCUGUAUUUUUGCGGAUGCACAGGGACGAUCAACAAAAUGUCAUCAGAAAGGCGAAGGAUGACUUUUUGUUUGUAUUUCAGUAUCAAGAAGACAUGGAAACAUUUUUUGGCAUACUGUAUUGAUAAACACGGCCUAAUCAACGGCAUGGUCAAUGCCAUGUUCCUCAAUCAGCAAUUUAAGUAGCUGAAUAGACGAGUGAGUGAGUGACUGAGGGAGGGAGGGAGGGAUGGAGGGAGGUAGUGAGUGAAUGAAUGACUAAAGAAAAGAAGGAACAAAUGUAUAAAUAAAUAAAUUGAAUGAAUUCA